rnacentral:rRNA from 1 species
CGGCGUGCUUAACACAUGCAAGUCGAACGGAAAGGCCCUGCUUUUGUGGGGUGCUCGAGUGGCGAACGGGUGAGUAACACGUGAGUAACCUGCCCUUGACUUUGGGAUAACUUCAGGAAACUGGGGCUAAUACCGGAUAGGAGCUCCUGCUGCAUGGUGGGGGUUGGAAAGUUUCGGCGGUUGGGGAUGGACUCGCGGCUUAUCAGCUUGUUGGUGGGGUAGUGGCUUACCAAGGCUUUGACGGGUAGCCGGCCUGAGAGGGUGACCGGCCACAUUGGGACUGAGAUACGGCCCAGACUCCUACGGGAGGCAGCAGUGGGGAAUAUUGCACAAUGGGCGGAAGCCUGAUGCAGCAACGCCGCGUGCGGGAUGACGGCCUUCGGGUUGUAAACCGCUUUCGCCUGUGACGAAGCGUGAGUGACGGUAAUGGGUAAAGAAGCACCGGCUAACUACGUGCCAGCAGCCGCGGUGAUACGUAGGGUGCGAGCGUUGUCCGGAUUUAUUGGGCGUAAAGGGCUCGUAGGUGGUUGAUCGCGUCGGAAGUGUAAUCUUGGGGCUUAACCCUGAGCGUGCUUUCGAUACGGGUUGACUUGAGGAAGGUAGGGGAGAAUGGAAUUCCUGGUGGAGCGGUGGAAUGCGCAGAUAUCAGGAGGAACACCAGUGGCGAAGGCGGUUCUCUGGGCCUUUCCUGACGCUGAGGAGCGAAAGCGUGGGGAGCGAACAGGCUUAGAUACCCUGGUAGUCCACGCUGUAAACGGUGGGUACUAGGUGUGGGGUCCAUUCCACGGGUUCCGUGCCGUAGCUAACGCUUUAAGUACCCCGCCUGGGGAGUACGGCCGCAAGGCUAAAACUCAAAGGAAUUGACGGGGCCCCGCACAAGCGGCGGAGCAUGCGGAUUAAUUCGAUGCAACGCGUAGAACCUUACCUGGGUUUGACAUGGAUCGGGAGUGCUCAGAGAUGGGUGUGCCUCUUUUGGGGUCGGUUCACAGGUGGUGCAUGGCUGUCGUCAGCUCGUGUCGUGAGAUGUUGGGUUAAGUCCCGCAACGAGCGCAACCCUUGUUCACUGUUGCCAGCACGUUAUGGUGGGGACUCAGUGGAGACCGCCGGGGUCAACUCGGAGGAAGGUGGGGAUGACGUCAAGUCAUCAUGCCCCUUAUGUCCAGGGCUUCACGCGUGCUACAAUGGCUGGUACAGAGAGUGGCGAGCCUGUGAGGGUGAGCGAAUCUCGGAAAGCCGGUCUCAGUUCGGAUUGGGGUCUGCAACUCGACCUCAUGAAGUCGGAGUCGCUAGUAAUCGCAGAUCAGCAACGCUGCGGUGAAUACGUUCCCGGGGCUUGUACACACCGCCCGUCAAGUCAUGAAAGUUGGUAACACCCGAAGCCGGUGGCCUAACCGUUGUGGGGGAGCCGUCGAAGGUGGGACUGGUGAUUAGGACUAAGU